rnacentral:lncRNA from 1 species
GGUUAGCAGAAUUGAAAGUAGUAUCGAAUGAACUACUAGUUGGUUGCAUAGUUGCAUUAUUGCAUGAUUUGCAUAUAGCAUUACAUUAUUGCAUUCGUGAGGCAAUGCAUGGUUUUAUUCGUUGCAUAAUCAAGAUAUAUAUCUAUCUGUUUAUUGAACUAACUUGCAGUUGCCUCCCUUGGACCUAUUGGUCGAGCUUUUCCCUUGGGUGGCCGUACCCACUGGGAACCAUGGAGUUGGUUCUCACCCCACGUGGUUUUGGGGUUUUUACAGGUUCGCACGUGAGCGGCGCGGCGGCGCGAGGCGAGGGCGUAGCAUCAUAGUUAGCGCCCUACCACCGAGACCAGAGAUAGCGAUACCCUGAGUCGGCCUUUACUUAGGGAUGUAAGAAAAUGAAAGGAAUAAGAUUGUAAUAGUCAUGUUAAAUCGGAUUGUAUUUGGAAGUUAAAUGUAAUAAGUAUUUGGGAUGUAAAAUGUAUGAAUAUGAGUGAAUGUAAUAAUAUAGGAUGUGUUAUGUUGUUUGAUACCUUCCAUUAAGCAAUCUUGAUUGAAAUGUGUUCCUGGUUGGAACUUCGCACAUUGUAUUGAUUGCUAUGCCUUGAACGUACAGGGGAGACUCUGUCCGCAGUACAGGAAAAACCCUGUCCGUUCGGCGAUCUGUUGGCGGCGCCGCGACCCGGCCAAAUAGGCAGGCGGUCGCGGGGCGUGACAGCCUCCACCCCUCUCAUUUCAGAAUCCUCAUUUGUAUUCUCAACUUUAAAGUAAUAGAAGAGCUUUCUUCUUAUCUCUCUCUUGUACUUAGUCUAGGGCGAGCGAGGUCCUAACUUAGCAAGUAGAGAGGCAGGCUUGCUCACUUCGCGAAGGAAGGCGAGCACCGCACGGGCUUUUGCAAGCAAAUUCGUUAAGUCCGUGACAGUUGGUAUCAGAGCCGGUUCGAGAAGGAGCCAUGUCGUCAUCAGAGGCCGCUGCUGGCGACGUUGGGGGUGAUGCCUCCAAGCAACCCUCCAAGCGGGGCAAGGGCAAGGACACGCGAAUCACGAAGGAUUCCGCGUCGGUCGAGGAUCGCCUUGCACUGUUGGAGGACAUUCUAUCGAAAUAAGGCGUAGAUUUUGAGAUUCAAGGCAUAUGUUCAUUCGAAAUGUAUUACUAUAUUACGAUCCAUUCAAAUAAGCGUUGUAAUCCAAACUGUAUUUUACAUAAAGCUUACAAAAUGUAUUGCUAAAAGGGUGAAAACAAAAGGUGAAAACAAAAGGACCUGUAAGUAAAUUUGGAAGUAUAUAUACACGCCCUAUUACUGUGACGAGCACAAAUAAAAAAAAUAAAUUGCUAUAAGAAAACAAAGGCAAUAUUUUUAAACCAAAACUCCCAUUUUUUCUGCAUCUAUAUUUAGGCGCAUAACAGUAAUAGGGCGUGUAUAAAAAAAAAAAAAAAAAAAAAAAAAGAGGAAAUCAAUACAAAUACAGUGAACAACUUGUAAUGCACUGGACCGUUGCAAAUUGCGAGGUUCGAGUGUUUGAUUUGAGUUCUGAGCUUUUCCACAUUUUCUGAAGGGUCGUAGACAGUGUUCCGACCCAUGGCUCGCAUCCCGAGAAUUGAGGAUUAAAACUUAGCACCAAACCUCGAAAUUGCAGGAAUUUUGGUUGCUCUCGGGUUUGCCUCUGCAUGGCAGAGUACCAAUACUACAUCGAGCUAAUACCGGUACCCUAUGUAUUUUCCCGCGCGGCAGAGGCUCGGGUUGGCAGUCUGCUAUUAGUUAACCGGUUCGCAGCUUGUUAACCGGUGACACUUGCCCGUGUUAACCGAUACACUGUGCAAUUCGCAGACUGCUUGUUUUUUAGGAGUGUUUUUGCAUUUGUAGCAACUCUAUAUUACCCCCCACGCCCCUUGGAUGUUUCCCUGAGAUUGGAAACACAGGAGAGAAGGUAGGGGAGCCCUCCACUUCUUCUCUUUGGUUCUUUUUGAUUUUUGUUGGGGUUUUUGAGGAUUAAUCACCUCUUUUGCUUCCUUUUUGUAUCUUGGUGGCAUUUCCACCAUAGGAGAAGGCUUGGAGCUUGGAGAAGAGCUUGUUGGAUGAGAGAUCUUCAACCCUAACUCAUUCCAAGCCUAGUUGGGAGCUUCUAAAGAGUUUAGUAUCAUGUUUUGCUCUUUUGAUCCAUGUUUUAGUGGAUUUUGCUUGAUGAAAACCUAGAAUGUGAAAUCUAGGGUUUAUUUGAAAAUUUUUUAUUUGUAGCUUUUAGGGCUUAAUUGAUAGGUGUAGAAUAUCUCGUUGGGGUGGAUUAGAAGGGCUCUAGCUUCCAUUUGGAAUUUGAGAGAAUUUUUCCCACAUUUAGGUGAGUUUUGCCCUAUUCUUAGGUUGAUUUGAGAUGAACACUUCGGAUGUUCGUUUGCUUUGUCUAACCCUUUUAGAAUUUUCUUUAGGAAGCUAGGAGGCUUGUGGACACCUUCGUUGGCGCAAACGAAGGAGAUUUAAGGAGCUCUUGGUGGGUUUGACCUUACCGAAAUGGGUGAACGCACCUUAUGUUAUUUUCCUUCAUUAUAAAAUAAAAAUUCUUGCAUAUUCAUGCUAGAUAGGGUAUGUGUGAAUUUUAGAAUGCUUAAAAUGCAUAUGUUACGUAUAAUGAAAUUUUACUUCUAUGUAGUAGAGAGAUUAGUGCAUUGCGAUUAUGCAUAUAAAUAGCAUUCUAUUAUAUGGUUUGGAAUCAUGUUUCUUACAAUGAAAAUGACUAGAAUAACAUGCUCUUUGAUGUAGAACUCAUGUUGGACAUAGCGGACAAAAAUGCCAUAAAGAGGCAUUCAACUUAGUAAAUGGUUAAACCUUUACUUGAUGACAGUGAUAGGCCAUUGGGUCACUAGCUUAUAUACCAUGUUUUAGACAUGAUAACAUAGUGGUAGGCCAUUGGGACACUAGCUCUUAUACUAUGUUUUAGACACAAUGACAUCGGACUUGAGACGGAUAUUUAUGCUUGCUUGCAAUUGUGCUCAUUCGCACAUGCUUGUGAGGGUCGCUCCCCACAAGUCGGCACUCCGGAGAUAGCCGUCGCGACAUAAGCUCGCCGGUGCGGGAUUGGGCGCAGAAAUGGGAUGCCGCGGGGAGGCUCAUUCUAGGAUGGGAAUGUUGACUACCACGGGGCCAUUAGGCACGGCGCAAGCCGGACUACCCACAGGUAGGUCCUAUAUGAUCGAAACAUUAUUUGAACUAAAAUGCAAAGUGGACAUUAGACGAAUUAGUAAACAAUGACAUUUUACUAGUUGCACUUGUAGGCAUCAUGUUGGUUACACUUAUGCAUAUUCAUGUUAGAAUAGCAUUUAUACUUAUGCAAAUUCAUGCUAAGUAGAGACACAAUAGUUUAGCAAGUUUAUUCAUGUUUAUUAUACAUGUUAUACAUUCUACUUAAAAGUUGAAUAAACUAUUCAACUACUUUCGGCCUUUUUUAGCUUAGUGGUGCAUUUCGCUGAGGUCAGCAAUUGCCAACUGGGAACUAUUGAUUAUAGUUCUCACGCCCCCUGUUUGUUUUCUUACAGAGCCAUCCGCACCGGUGGAGGCUCGGGAUCGUGGCAAAGGGAUCGCCUAGCUAGCUAGCGAGGAGUGUUUGCUCUUAGGUGGUCAUCUCUCUAUUUUUGUAUCUAUGUAGAGAGUGAGAGUUUUUGUACCCAUGUAUAGAGACCACCAUUUUUGUAUGCCUAGCACUUGUAUUUGGGUUUUGUUGUUAUGCAACUUCAUGUUUAUGUUAGUGAUUUAGUUCUCUUUUCAUUCUACUUGUAUUAGAAUCUAGUUGUUGUAUGCUCUGAUACUUCUAGAUGCUCCUUUAUUAUUGCUUUAUUUAUCGCUUUUGUAAUGUACCGAAAUUUAAUAUAAAAAUAAAUAUAAAUAAAAGUAGUGAGAGAUACUAUUUUUAUUUGACUUAGAGAAGUAAAAUAUAAGUCUGGAAUGACUUGUGCUGAAAUCGGAAUGAAAACAGAAAAUUUAGAAUUUUCUGUUGGAAACGGGACUGAUAUUUUAGCAGAAAAUGCAGUGUCAGAAAAUUAUAAAACUGGAGAAUAUGUCAGAAUUAUUUUUAUGAGGCUAGAUUUAAAGUUUCAUGUCAUUCUGACACCCGAAAAGUGAAAAAUAAAAUCCGACUGCUAUCUGCUAGAUAUUACAGUUCGAUAGAGCUUUCGAUGACCAAAAAUGGUCGAAACUGAAAAGUUAAGAUAUAUUCGGUUUUGUUAAAUUAAACCGAGCCUUACUGUCAAAUUUGAGCGCAAACGGACAUUCAGAAGGGCUCCAACAACUCUGAACUGCUAAAUUGAACUGGAGAUGCAAGUUGUAUUGUGUGAGAGGGGGUUUUGUGCAAUUGUUACAGCACUUAUUUGUGGCUGGCUGCAUGCGCACACGACACACACCCGCACACUUCUCCCCCUCCCUCACACUUGCAACCAAGAAGGAUCUCUCUCUCUCUCUCUCUCUUGAAGGUGGAAUCAAGAUAAGGAUUUGGUGGAGAUUGAAGCUUGAAGGUGGAUUUUCAUCUUCAUCAUCUUCUUCCCCUCCAUUGAAGCUAGCUUGAGAGGUAAGCUUUGAUGCCCUUUAAUGGUAGAAUUUUAGGGCUUCAAUUAUAUGCUCUAAGAAUGGAUUUAGUGAAACUCCUAGAUGCUAAAUAAAUGAUUAAUGCUUGAAUCAUGAAGCUAAAUGGUGAUUUCUUGCAUAGUUGUAAUCUAGGGCUCCAAAAUGAAAUUUUUGCUAGUAGAUGGGUUUGAUCUAAAUUGACCCUCCGUAAACCUAAUUGCUAAGUAUUCCGACGCGUUGGCGAAGUCGGUUCGGCAAUUCGUCGAGCCGGUGCGAAGUUAUUGAAGAAACGGAGGAUUUGGCUUUGUUUCCGCCUGGAAGGCCGAGGCGACGUCCAAAAAUCGCGAGAUCGGAUCAGGGCGUCGUGGCACGUCGUGGCACCAAGAUAAAGACCUUUAAUUUUUGGAUUGCGGAUUGGUGGUCGCUCGGUGGUCGAGCGUGAGAUCGAGCCGAACCAGGCGGCGGGUGCCGCGGGAGGCCGAUUGCAAGUGGUUACGAGCAAUCGGAACGCGAUAAUAGGUGGGUUGUGCUUGCCGAAGCGAC